GUCUACGGCCAUGCUACCCUGAACCUGCCCGAUCUCAGAACCUGUCUGAUCUCAGAAGCUAAACCUGGUUAGUACUUGGAUGGGAAACGACCUAGGAAUACCAGGUGCUGUAGGCG
rnacentral:rRNA from 1 species